GGGGACGUAGCUCAGCUGGUAGAGCACCUGCUUUGCAAGCAGGGGGUCGGCGGUUCGAGUCCGCUCGUCUCCACCA
rnacentral:tRNA from 1 species